rnacentral:rRNA from 1 species
UACGGGAGGCAGCAGUGGGGAAUAUUGCACAAUGGGCGCAAGCCUGAUGCAGCCAUGCCGCGUGUAUGAAGAAGGCCUUCGGGUUGUAAAGUACUUUCAGUCGUGAGGAAGGUGUUAAGGUUAAUAACCUUAGCAAUUGACGUUAGCGACAGAAGAAGCACCGGCUAACUCCGUGCCAGCAGCCGCGGUAAUACGGAGGGUGCGAGCGUUAAUCGGAAUUACUGGGCGUAAAGGGCACGCAGGCGGUUAAUUAAGUUGGAUGUGAAAUCCCCGGGCUUAACCUGGGAAUGGCAUUCAAGACUGGUUAGCUAGAGUCUUGUAGAGGGGGUAGAAUUCCGAUGUGUAGCGGUGAAAUGCGUAGAGAUGUGGAGGAAUACCGGGUGGCGAAGGCGGCCCCUGGGACAAAGGACUGACGCUCGAUGUGCGAAAGCGUGGGGAGCAAACGAGGAUUAGAUACC